rnacentral:rRNA from 1 species
AGUGAACGCUGGCGGUAGGCCUAACACAUGCAAGUCGAACGGCAGCACAGUAAGAGCUUGCUCUUACGGGUGGCGAGUGGCGGACGGGUGAGGAAUACAUCGGAAUCUACUUUUUCGUGGGGGAUAACGUAGGGAAACUUACGUUAAUACCGCAUACGACCUACGGGUGAAAGCAGGGGAUCUUCGGACCUUGCGCGAUUGAAUGAGCCGAUGUCGGAUUAGCUAGUUGGCGGGGUAAAGGCCCACCAAGGCGACGAUCCGUAGCUGGUCUGAGAGGAUGAUCAGCCACACUGGAACUGAGACACGGUCCAGACUCCUACGGGAGGCAGCAGUGGGGAAUAUUGGACAAUGGGCGCAAGCCUGAUCCAGCCAUACCGCGUGGGUGAAGAAGGCCUUCGGGUUGUAAAGCCCUUUUGUUGGGAAAGAAAAGCAGCAGGUUAAUACCCCGCUGUUCUGACGGUACCCAAAGAAUAAGCACCGGCUAACUUCGUG